UAUAGCUCUCAAUGGACGAAACUCUGAACCAGCUACGCCGUGUGCAGGUUGUCGGUCCUCUGGAUUGUCUACUGCUUUUGUAGAGGCAUAAAAAGAGCUACGAGUAGCACAUUGACGGUACUGUCAGAAUAACGAUCGGCUAAAUACGUGUCAGCAGCCGCGGUAAUACGGAGUAUUCAAGCGUUAUCCGGAAUCAUUGGGUUUAAAGGGUCCGUAGGCGGCCUUAUAAGUCAGCGGUGAAAGUUUUUGGCUUAACCAAAAAAUUGCCGUUGAUACUGUAGGGCUUGAAUUUUUGUGAAGUAACUAGAAUAUGUAGUGUAGCGGUGAAAUGCUUAGAUAUUACAUGGAAUACCAAUUGCGAAGGCAGGUUACUAACAAACGAUUAACGCUGAUGGACGAAAGCGUGGGUAGCGAACA
rnacentral:rRNA from 1 species